AGUGCAGUGCCGUGUUGCCCUCGUCGUCCGGCAGGUCCACGCCCGCCCUGGCUUGUAGCAGCAGCCGUAUCAACUCCACCUGGCCCAGGGCUGGGGACUCGUGGGUGCAGCUGGCACCCUAGUCCUGCCUGACCCCCCAAGGCCAAGGGGGUACGUGGAAGGGGUUACAGAAGCAAGCAGAUGAGGCGCAGCCCAGCCCCCCCGGCACCUUGGACAUCAGUGUCCAGCAGACACUUGACCUUGUCCCCGUGCUGGAAGGGCUGGCUGUCAGCACUCACCCUGCGCUGCAGCUCCGCCGGCUUGCC
rnacentral:lncRNA from 1 species